GAUGAACGCUGGCGGCGGGCCUAAUACAUGCAAGUCGAGCGAACAGACGAGGAGCUUGCUCCUCUGACGUUAGCGGCGGACGGGUGAGGAACACGUGGAUAACCUACCUAUAAGACUGGGAUAACGUCGGGAAACCGGAGCUAAUACCGGAUAAUAUAGUGAACCGCAUGGUUCAAUAGUGAAAGACGGUUUUGCUGUCACUUAUAGAUGGAUCCGCGCCGCAUUAGCUAGUUGGUAAGGUAACGGCUUACCAAGGCAACGAUGCGUAGCCGACCUGAGAGGGUGAUCGGCCACACUGGAACUGAGACACGGUCCAGACUCCUACGGGAGGCAGCAGUAGGGAAUCUUCCGCAAUGGGCGAAAGCCUGACGGAGCAACGCCGCGUGAGUGAUGAAGGUCUUCGGAUCGUAAAACUCUGUUAUUAGGGAAGAACAAAUGUGUAAGUAACUAUGCACGUCUUGACGGUACCUACUCAGAAAGCCACGGCUAACUACGUG
rnacentral:rRNA from 1 species